CAGAACCACAGUCCAGGUGUCUACAAACUGCAUCUGCUAACUUGAGGUUCCAGUCACGGUCAUCCACUUCUGUCCAGACACCCUGGCUCUUCACCUGUAGUUCACCAGAACAACGGCUGGAUCCUCCAGCCAACUGGAUGUCAUCAAUCUCUAAGCACGGUACUGAUUCAUCUCCUGGAAACCCUGGAUGUGCACUACUGUGGUCCCUCGACUCCUGCCUCUUCAGCUCCACUGUUUCCAUCUUGAGCACCACCAAGAAUUUAGACAGAAAGGCGCU